AGGAUAUCUCAGUGACUGUGAAAGCUCAAGCCAUUUGCACUGGGAGAGAAGCAAGCAGCAAGUUUUGCUGGCAAUGGUUUGGUUUCUAGAACAGCAUCAAAACUUGUCUCCCAUGUUUUGUAAGUGGUUUAACCCACAAGGUAUCAUGCAUUUUAAACUUUUAAGAAGAAACUUAAUUCCAUCUGCGAAUGCAAAAGCAAAUAUGAGGGUACAAACUUUUAAAUAUUAAGUUUUUCUUGAAAACCACCUACCAGAGAGCAAGUUUGGGGCAAUAAAGAUAAAAAAGAAACAGGAAAAUGGGGACGACGUACAGUAUGAUGGAGCCAUCGUGCAAGCCCUCAAUAGUCUGCCUCUAGGCUGUCAAAUAAAGUAAAAAGAACAAAA